GAGUGACCGUUGGCGGUCUUGCUCUGCCAUUGGCUGGGGCCACGGUAAGCCCCUCCCUCAAGUGACCAACUGUCCCUGAGCAGCAUUUAGUGGGCACGCUGAACAGACAGUUGGCUGGGUGGUGGUCCUCAGGCAGAGAGUGAGAAGUCAGAGGCAGCCACUGUUGUGCCUUGAUCUACAUCCGUGAGUUGCAUUGGCACAGGCAAAGAAAGAAGAAACUGUUCUGUGCUUCUUACACAGAGAUCUGUUGGGUGAUCGAUGCAGGGAACUAGAAUUCCUCUGUCCAGGGACUCAAGAGUCCAGGAAAGAGGAGCAAAUAUACACAUGUAUCUGGACCUAUGAGAAGUUGAAAGAAAGCAUGACCUUACCAGUUCAAAAGAUUAGACCAUGAUAAACAAGAGAAAAAACUGCUGUUUCUGUGAGAUAUGCUGUUGUAGUGCCAGAAGAACAAUGUGAUGAACCAUGGCCCAGAUGAGGAGGUUCCUAGAUAAUCAUCAGUAGGAAGGGUCCUUUUACCCCUAGCAUCCACUUCCUGGGGCUCACAUGGCAUCAGGGAGAAGGGUCUGUCCAUGAUGCCGUCAGACAUUGGAGGGGUUCUUGCAUGGAAAUAUUGGAUAUAGCAAUGAACUAGCAGACACAAACUACUUUUUGGGAUUUUUAGCCUCUUCUGGAAGAUUAACAUACCAACAGUAAAAGAUGGUGCAUGCCAUGAAAGUGGAGUAAAAGAGAUUGACUUCGUUAUGGCUGUAGUUUUGCAAAAUUUUUAUGUGUUAUAAAAAUAAAAGAAAAGAGAAUCA